GGGUUGCUAGCUCAAUUUUGGCAGAGCACCCGCCUCUUAAGCGGAAGGUUGUGGGAUCGUGGCCCACGCAACCCA
rnacentral:tRNA from 1 species